ensembl:lncRNA
GCUAUCAGUUCUCACAAGCGGCCAGCUAUUGGCCUGAUCUCAGACACAGAGGAAGCUCCCAGUAGCUUCUUCCAGAGAAAUCACUUCCAUGGGUGUUUCCCACUUCUUUCCCUAAAUGUCAGACCACCACAGUGAUACUAAGCUAAAGAUACCAUUUUCAUUAGAUCCAGCAACAAAUAUUUAAAUUUUUUUGGUGUUGUAAGAUACAGUUGACCUGCGCUGGAAAUAAAAUUCUGCACUAAAGGCAAAAAUCCUCCAGUUACUGUGGCACAUCUGUGUUUGCCCCAGAAGAAGACUCGCAGUCAUAGUGACUAGUCACACUGCACUGCUGCGUGCUGCAUUCUUCACAGAACCUAAACUUGUUACAAAUUAACAGUAGAACAGCAUUUGACCACACUGGUCCAAGAGCUUUUGACACAACUUUGAAACUGAAAGCUGUGACCAUACAAGAACUGACGGAGGUCAGAUUUCUCAAGAUGAGAGAACUGCAGGCAAAGGCAAGUCAGGGCUUGUGUGCACAGGAUGCUUCUUUGGAAGAUAUUAUAUCUCUGAAAUAGAAGAAACGUGUAUGUUCUUCCCUAAAAGAGCAGUGCUUUUAGAGGAAAUCUGCCUGCUAAGGUAUUUCAUAUACUUCUCAGUAUCAUCUUCCUUGGAAAUAUUAUAUAAGGCUCUGCAGACUGACUCCACAGAAACAAGAAAUGAAUCCAGAUCUCACAGACAGAGGCAUCUUUGUAGUUUGAGUCAAGAAGGACGACAGACAUUUCUUCACAAUUAUGUUUUAAAAGUGUCAUACAAGUUCAUAAUCACUUAAAAACAUUUCUACUCAAUAAGACCACUGGAUAUGUUGGAGCAACCUUGCAAUCUUCUCUGGUUCUUGAACUCAACAUUUACUCAACCAAGUAAAAGAAACUUAUACUGCACAUUAAAGUAAUGAAAUAUUGUUUAUUCUAUUAAGUAUUGGAUUGGAGAGCUGAUAUUGGUCCAGCUUCUCAGACAUAUAUUAGCUUCAAUAUUAGUUUCAAUGGAAAUGUGAUACCUGAAUAUCUAAAUAACUUUUACAGUCUGAAUUGCAAAAUAAAAUGAUGAAGAUAAGAUGCA